UGCGGGACUGAGAGCCUCGGGUGCACCGGGAGCAUCCCGGGAUCCUGCGGGACUGAGAGCCCCGGGAGCACCGGGACCAUCCCGGGAAUAGCGGGAUCCUGCAGGGUUGAGAGCCCUGGGAGCACCGGGAGCAUCCCGGGAUCCUGCGGGGCUGAGAGCCCCGGGAGCCCCGGGAGCAUCCCGGGAUCCUGCGGGGCUGAGAGCCCCGCGACAACCCCGGGACCUCCGGGAUCCUGCGGAACCGCGGGGCUGGAGACCCCCGGGACCCUUCGGGACCCCGCCGGCUGCGCAGAGACGAGACCACCCAGAACCCCACCGGGUGUGGGGGCCGGAGCCCCCCUGGGCUCCCCAGGACCCUCGGGGUGCGUGGGGUCGGAGCCUCCCGAGACUCCCCCCCCCCGGAGGAGCCGAUCCCCUUCUCCUGACUCCAGCGAGGCAAACCCCGGCGCUCUCCUCCCGGUGCCGCUGCAGCGCUCUCGGCCCGGUGUUGGUGUUUAUUUACGGUACCCGAGCCGGCUGCACGCAGCCCUGCCCGUCCUCACCCACUGGCGCCUCGCAGGAUUAGCCUAAAUUAUCGAUCAGCCCACGCGAUGUCCUGCAGAUCCAUGGAUUGGGGAAGAGCUAAUAGGCCACACUCCUGUGAGCUUCAGGAGGACGUACUUCUCAUGAGAAGCACCUGAUACCUGUGAAAACCUUUGAAGCUCUGAGAAGUAAAUUUAUUUUUUAAACAUUCUGCUGGAGGGUGCUGAUUUACAGCCCUGGAGAUGGAAAAUCUCUGGGUGUCCACGCAGCAGUUCCAGCACGAGCAGCAGCACUUUAAGCCUUGUCCCCUGCCUGAUCAAACCCCUGAAAUGAUUAAAUCACUUCUUAGAUCCUCAGCUGCUAAUUCAGGGGCGUAGUCUUGAUCAUUAACUGGUGAAACAGGCUGGGAGAUAAAGGAGACACGGAGUGUGGGGUUGGUGUAGGCACAGAGAAAUUACAUUUCCAUCUGAAAUGGA